rnacentral:rRNA from 1 species
AUUGAACGCUGGCGGCAGGCCUAACACAUGCAAGUCGAACGAGUGGCGGACGGGUGAGUAAUGUCUGGGACCCUGCCUGAUGGAGGGGGAUAACUACUGGAAACGGUAGCUAAUACCGCAAACCAUCGGCUGUUCCCAGAUGGGAUUCGCUAGUAGGUGGGGUAAAGGCUCACCUAGGCAACGAGCCCUAGCUCGUCUGAGAGGCUGACCAGCCACACUGGAACUGAGACACGGUCCAGACUCCUACGGGAGGCAGCAGUGGGGAAUAUUGCACAAUGGGCGCAAGCCUGAUGCAGCCAUGCCGCGUGUAUGAAGAAGGCCUUCGGGUUGUAAAGUACUUUCAGCGGGGAGGCGUUACCCGCAGAAGAAGCACCGGCUAACUCCGUGCCAGCAGCCGCGGUAAUAC